AUGUGGCUUGCGGUGCACCGUCAAUGCCUUACGGCGGACAACCUGGAGAAAACCGAAGAUUGCAUCCACUUGUUUCUCCACUACUGCUUCAGGCAACAAGUGUGGGCGCGCUUCAGAUCCUGGACCGGAGCUGAUUUUCUUGUUCCCGAUAACACCUUUGCCUCCACACAGGAUUGGUGGUUGCAGGCUAGGGUUGCUAUACCCAAGCACACACGUAGGAAUUUUGACACGGUGGUUAUCUUGCUGCACUGGAGGAUAUGGAAAGAGAGAAAUUCCAGGAUUUUUGAUCAUGUGGCGUGCUCGCCGAUCAGCGUCUUGGAGCGGAUACAGGAAGAUGUGGCCAUGUGGAGGGCCGCCGAAUGCAUCGUAGAUCUGCCAACUUAG
rnacentral:rRNA from 1 species